UACGUAGGGUGCAAGCGUUAAUCGGAAUUACUGGGCGUAAAGCGCACGUAGGCGGAUGUGUCAGUCAGGGGUGAAAUCCCGGGGCUCAACCUCGGAACUGCCUUUGAUACAGCACGCUCGAGUCCGGAAGAGGUGGGUGGAAUUCCUAGUGUAGAGGUGAAAUUCGUAGAUAUUCGCAAGAACACCAGUGGCGAAGGCGGCUCACUGGCCCGAUACUGACGCUGAGGCACGAAAGCGUGGGGAGCAAACAGGG
rnacentral:rRNA from 1 species